rnacentral:lncRNA from 1 species
GACCACGCCCAGGAGGCAGUCCACUCAGGCCCGGCCUUCAGGCGAGCCAGCAUCAAGGAGAUCCAGUCUUGCUACCUAGCCAAGUCCAGUCAUGCAGGGUCAGGAAGAUGGAGACAGCAUCCUUCCUUUUGCCGUGUUCCAGAGUGGUCAGCCGAUCUUCACCCUGCAGCCUGCCUUCCCAGAAGAGCAGACCAAUGCCUCAGCCUUAUGGAGAGAUCUUCUGGGAGAAUCUCAGCCGAAGGUCUAACUCCAACUGGAUGAUAGAACAGUACAUUCCACCAAUUCUGAGGGCCACGGGUUGCUCCCAGCCUGGCCUGCACCCUCUUGAGGGGCUCCCUCCUCCUGAGAAGCUUUGGAGAAGAAAGGGAAAGAAGCUGCAUUUGGAAAGAAUGCAAAAGGG